CUGUUUAUGCCGUUCCGCGCGGUUCCUCCAAAUCGAGCGGACCACGCGGAACUACUCACCCGUCUCCCUCGCACGAAGCUUCUCGCAUCUCCUUCUGUCGCAUGAACCUGGCUCCCUCCUGGAUCCGCGCCACCAACCACUCCUCCCCGAAUCCACGCCGCUGGCCGCUUCUCCUGGAUCCGCGCGGCGGCUGCUCGUCUCCUUCAUCUGCGGUGCGGCCGGUCCUCUCCUUCAGCAGCGCCGCUGGCAGCUCCUCUCCUUCAACAGCGCCGCCGGCUGCUCCUCUCUCUCAUUCGUGCCGGCGGCCGGGAAGACGGGCGCCAGUGCCCAGCGCUCAGCCGACAGACAUGGCGCGGUGGUGCGCAACCCAUGUUCGGGAAUACAGGCGGCAGCGGGGGUAGCAGAGGGCAAUGCGGGGCUCACGGCCGAGAAGAGGAGCAGGCGGCCGACGCGGGUGGCACCGGCGGCCGCGCGGCCAAGGCUGGGAAGAGGGGCACCGGAUCCAGUGCUCAGGCGGCAGUCCGAUAGGAGAGCGAUGGUGGCCGGCUCAGGUGGCAGCUGCGUAUUUUUUCCUUUUGCAAUUGUUCUUGCCAAUUUGUACACGGAUGUUUAGAUUAUUGACAGGUUUUGUUAUCUAUUUGUACAUGC
rnacentral:rRNA from 1 species